AUUGAACGCUGGCGGCAGGCCUAACACAUGCAAGUCGAGCGGGGUUUUCGGACCUAGCGGCGGACGGGUGAGUAAUGCGUAGGAAGCUACCCGAUAGAGGGAGAUACCAGUUGGAAACGACUGUUAAUACCGCAUAAUGUCUACGGACCAAAGUGUGGGACCUUCGGGCCACAUGCUAUCGGAUGCGCCUACGUGGGAUUAGCUAGUUGGUGGGGUAAUGGCUCACCAAGGCGACGAUCCCUAGCUGGUUUGAGAGGAUGAUCAGCCACACUGGAACUGAGACACGGUCCAGACUCCUACGGGAGGCAGCAGUGGGGAAUAUUGGACAAUGGGCGCAAGCCUGAUCCAGCCAUGCCGCGUGUGUGAAGAAGGCCUUCGGGUUGUAAAGCACUUUCAGUAGGGAGGAAGGGUGUUGUGUUAAUAGCACAGCAUUUUGACGUUACCUACAGAAGAAGCACCGGCUAACUCUGUGCCAGCAGCCGCAGUAAGAC
rnacentral:rRNA from 1 species